rnacentral:rRNA from 1 species
CGUACACUCCUGCGGGAGGCAGCAGUGGGGAAUAUUGGACAAUGGGCGCAAGCCUGAUCCAGCCAUGCCGCGUGAGUGAUGAAGGCCCUAGGGUUGUAAAGCUCUUUCACCGGUGAAGAUAAUGACGGUAACCGGAGAAGAAGCCCCGGCUAACUUCGUGCCAGCAGCCGCGGUAAUACGAAGGGGGCUAGCGUUGUUCGGAUUUACUGGGCGUAAAGCGCACGUAGGCGGACUAUUAAGUCAGGGGUGAAAUCCCGGGGCUCAACCCCGGAACUGCCUUUGAUACUGGUAGUCUUGAGUUCGAGAGAGGUGAGUGGAAUUCCGAGUGUAGAGGUGAAAUUCGUAGAUAUUCGGAGGAACACCAGUGGCGAAGGCGGCUCACUGGCUCGAUACUGACGCUGAGGUGCGAAAGCGUGGGGAGCAAACAGGAUUAGAUACCCUAGUAGUCCCAUG